rnacentral:rRNA from 1 species
GACGAACGCUGGCGGCAGGCCUAACACAUGCAAGUCGAGCGAGCGGCGGACGGGUGAGUAAUGUCUGGGAAACUGCCUGAUGGAGGGGGAUAACUACUGGAAACGUUAGCUAAUACCGCAUACCAUCCGAUGUGCCCAGAUGGGAUUAUCUAGUAGGUGGGGUAACGGCUCACAUAGGCGACGAUCCCUAGCUGGUCGGAGAGGAUGACCGGCCACAGGGGAGCUGGAAACGGGUCCAGACUCCUAGGGGGGGCAGCAGUGGGGAAUUUGGCACAAUGGGCAAAAGCCGAAGGCAGACAUGCCGGGGGUAUGAAGAAGGCUUUCGGUUGGUAAAGUACUUUCGGCGGGAAGGCGUUACCCGCAGAAGAAGCACCGGCUAACUCCGUGCCAGCGGCCGCGGUAAUU